GCAGCAGCCGCGGUAAUACGGAGGGGGCUAGCGUUGUUCGGAAUUACUGGGCGUAAAGCGCACGUAGGCGGCUUGGUAAGUUAGAGGUGAAAGCCUGGAGCUCAACUCCAGAAUUGCCUUUAAGACUGCCGAGCUAGCAGGUGAGAGAGGUAAGUGGAAUUCCGAGUGUAGAGGUGAAAUUCGUAGAUAUUCGGAAGAACACCAGUGGCGAAGGCGGCUUACUGGCUCAUACUGGACGCUGAGGUGCGAAAGCGUGGGGAGCAAGCAGGAUUAGAUACCCCGGUAGUCCCUGUCUCUUAUAA
rnacentral:rRNA from 1 species